UUCAGGCCUCUGCUAGAUCCUGUGGGAGGGGAGAUAAGCAGGUUUAAAUAGUGCCGCUCAUCCUUGGUAGAAGGGGAGUUGUGCCUUAAGAGGUGUGGAUAAUGGGUGAGAGAGGAGUGGGGGCCUUCUGAUGUGGGACCUGGGAGGCUUCUUGGAAGAGGUGGCAUUUGAGCUCUUUGCUGAGAGACGACUGUUCUCUUUGACUAGUCUGCUUGAUGUGGCAGCCUCGACUCUUCUGUUCCCUGAAACUCUCCAUCUGAUUUUCUGGCGCUCUGUCAUGCAGCACCGCUUCCUGUCCCUGUGUUCUCUGGCGGGAUUUUUUGUUUCCGGUGUCUCCUAGGUCCUCUAUCUUUCUCUUCCCUCUUCCUCAGAGAUGUUUAUGUCUGCAGCUUUGAGUUUUGCCUGCACAGAGCUUGAGCCUCAGCUGUCUGAACGUCUGUCCUUUGUUUCCAGCCUGGCUCACCAGCAGCUCCCACUGAACUUGUCUGGAUCUCUCUCCCCCACAGUCGCAGCCUCCCUCCCUCCUUUUUCUUUCCCUGACUGGUGAGUGCCUGCUCUCUGCUAGGUGCUAGUUGAUCGUUCUUUAGAUUCCUCAGGCUUGGAGUCUCAGUCGUUUCUGUUGUCUCUCCCUUACCACUCCUGUGUAAACAACCAUUUUAUUUCUCUGUAUUCUUUCCGAUGUGUUUUGCAAUCUUUUGAGUUCUGCUCCUGCCCGUUAUCUGUGUGCUGGGAUCCCUGCAGUGGCCUUCUGGUGUCGAUCGCCUUCCUGCUCCUCGUCACUCUUGGCAUCACCACGACUUAGUGAGUGUCUGCCACGUUUGGAAUGUUGCCAGGAUUCCAUGUUUUAUAGAUCGAAAAAGGGAAUCGUGGGGAGGCUAGAACAGACCUGAAGUAGUAAAGGAGCCCAUCACCAACUCCACGUGUGAGCCCACUGGACCACUGGAUGGCGACGAAGACUGACAGGUUGCAGCCCCCCAGAUGGAGCAGGAACUGGGGCUGGGCCCAGGUCCAGGCGUAGCAGCUCUGGAGGAGAUGUAAUUCGUUGAGGACUACAGAAAAUGCCACCAGCCAAACCACCCCGUAUCAGUCUUUCGUCCACAGUUAGUAUGUGAGCUCUACACAGUGAAAUGGAGUUAGUUGGCCGAAAGCAGUCUGUUACCAUGAUUGAUUUUUGAAAAAGGCCUUGUGAGGUAGGCAUGGCAGGCAUUAUUGCCCCCAUUUCACAGCUGAGCAAACAGAGUUUCAGAGAGGUUUGGUGGAAGUCCUGUCUGUGAUGAUUUGGGGAGAACCUGGGCUUCUUUUACAAAUCCCCAGAUUUCCAGGGAAUGUUUCCUUACCUACCCACUCCCUCCCCAACCCCAGUCACACAACAAAGGACACAUGGAAAUAAGAGAGCAGGUCAUCCGUGAAGCCAUCCGAUGUAGUCCCUUUGUUAGAGGUGACAGAGCCCUAGCUCAAGAAGCAGCGUCUGGAGAGAACGAGAGAGAGGACGGAACUCAGAGAAUUUACAAGGACUGCCAAGAAUGAGACCUGCGUAGCAACCCUCCUCCCAGUUUUCAACUAUACCUGAGCGUUAGGAUAGAAGGCGCUGACAUCAGCGUUGCCAUGAUCUUGCAUGAUAUUUUUACAGUGCAGGCUCCCUCCUGCUGCCUACCUGGAUCCCUCUUCCGUGUCUGAAUUGUCCCAAAACACAGGAGCCCAAGGGCUUUUAUUUUUUCACUU
rnacentral:lncRNA from 1 species